UGGGGAAUAUUGGACAAUGGGCGCAAGCCUGAUCCAGCCAUGCCGCGUGAGUGAUGAAGGCCCUAGGGUUGUAAAGCUCUUUCGCACGCGACGAUAAUGACGGUAGCGUGAGAAGAAGCCCCGGCUAACUUCGUGCCAGCAGCCGCGGUAAUACGAAGGGGGCUAGCGUUGCUCGGAAUCACUGGGCGUAAAGGGCGCGUAGGCGGCCGGCCAAGUCGGGGGUGAAAGCCUGUGGCUCAACCACAGAAUGGCCCUCGAUACUGGACGGCUCGAGACCGGAAGAGGUUGGUGGAAUUGCGAGUGUAGAGGUGAAAUUCGUAGAUAUUCGCAAGAACACCGGUGGCGAAGGCGGCCAACUGGUCCGGAUCUGACGCUGAGGCGCGAAAGCGUGGGGAGCAAACAGGAUUAGAUACCCUGGUAGUCCACGCCGUAAACGAUGGAUGCCAGCCGUUGGCGCGCUUGCGCGUCAGUGGCGCAGCUAACGCUUUAAGCAUCCCGCCUGGGGAGUACGGUCGCAAGAUUAA
rnacentral:rRNA from 2 species